rnacentral:rRNA from 1 species
AUUGAACGCUGGCGGCAGGCCUAACACAUGCAAGUCGAGCGAGCGGCGGACGGGUGAGUAAUGCCUGGGAAUUGCCCAGUCGAGGGGGAUAACAGUUGGCAACGACUGCUAAUACUGCAUACGGCUGGAUUGCCCAGGUUGGAUUAGCUCGUUGGUGAGGUAAUGGCUCACCAAGGCGACGAUCCCUAGGUGGUCUGAGAGGAUGAUCAGCCACACUGGAACUGAGACACGGACCAGACUCCUACGGGAGGCGGCAGGGGGGAAUAUUGCACAAUGGGGGAAACCCGGAUGCAUCCAUGCCGCGUGUGUGAAGAAGGCCUUCGGGUUGUAAAGCAGUGUCAGCGAGGAGGCGUUACUCGCAGAAGAAGCACCGGCUAACUCCGUGCCAGCAGCCGCGGUAAUAC